rnacentral:rRNA from 1 species
UACGUAGGGGGCAAGCGUUGUCCGGAUUUACUGGGCGUAAAGCGCGCGUAGGCGGAACUUCAAGUCCGGUCUGAAAGCCCCCGGCUCAACCGGGGAGGGUGGCUGGAAACUGGGGUCCUUGAGGGCGAGAGAGGAGGGUGGAAUUCCCGGUGUAGUGGUGAAAUGCGUAGAUAUCGGGAGGAACACCAGUGGCGAAGGCGACUACCUGGCCUGUUCUUGACGCUGAGGCGCGAAAGCUAGGGGAGCAAACGGG